AACCCGACUCCGUGAAGCUGGAUUCGCUAGUAAUCGCGCAUCAGCCAUGGCGCGGUGAAUACGUUCCCGGGCCUUGUACACACCGCCCGUCAAGCCAUGGAAGCCGGGGGGCGCUUGAAGUGCGUUGCCGCAAGGCGCGCCCUAGAGCGAAACCGGUGACUGGGGCUAAGUCGUAACAAGGUAGC
rnacentral:rRNA from 1 species